CAAUAGCGUAUAUUAAAGUUGUUGCAGUUAAAAAGCUCGUAGUUGAAAUGAUGGCUUGCUAUCGUGACUCUAACUUGGAGGAUCUUUGGCUUGCCAGGCAUCUCACGAUGCCUAGUUACUUUGAGAAAAAUAGAGUGUUUCAAGCGGGCAUUUGCUGAAAUAGUGUACCGUGGAAUGACGAAAAGGCUGCUUUUCCGGUUUUGAGUUCUCGGAAUUGCGGUGCGUGUUGAGAGGAACAGUCGGGGGUAUUCGUAUUGAACAGUCAGAGGUGAAAUUCUUAGAUUUGUUCAGGACGAACUAGUGCGAAAGCAUCUACCAAGGAUGUUUUCAUUAAG
rnacentral:rRNA from 1 species